UCUCUGAUAGUAUAUCGGUUAGUACACGCGCCUGUCAAAUGGUAUCAAACCCCUUCGCGCGAAAGCUGGGUUCGACUCCCAGUCAGAGAG